GCUAAGAGACUAGAAUGAGACGCAACCCUAUCAGUUUGUUGGUAGUGUAACGGACUACCAAGACUAUGACGGGUGACGGGAAAUCAGUGUUUGAUUCCGGAGAGGGAGCCUGAGAGAUGGCUCCCACGUCCAAGGAUGGCAGCAGGCGCGAAAAUUGUCCACUCUUUGUUGAGGAGACAGUUAUGAGGCGUGAUUGUAAGAGCGAAGAGUAAACAUCUUUGUGUAAUGCAACUAGAGGGCAAGUUUUGGUGCCAGCAGCCGCGGUAACUCCAACUCUAGAAGUGCCUAUUGUGGAUGCUGCAGUUAAAAAGUCCGUAGUCGUUGAUGCAAUUAAAAGGUGUAGAUCAAGUGCACCAAGUUUGUUAGUUGUGGCGGAGCGGACAGGGAGCAUGGUAUAGGUUGGCGAAGAAUGAAAUCUCAAGACCCAACCUGGACCAACUGAGGCGAAAGCGGUGCUCUUGUACGCGUCUGUGGAUCAAGGACGAAGGCUAGAGGAUCGAAAGUGAUUAGACACCGCUGUAGUUCUAGCAGUAAACUAUGCCGACAUUCUCUGUUGUUGAGACGGGGAGGGGAGAAAUCUUAGUUUUCGGGCUCUGGGGAUAGUACGCUUGCAAGAGUGAAACUUAAAGCGAAAUUGACGGAAGAUCACCACAAGGAGUGGAUUGUACUGCUUAAUUUGACUCAACACGGGAAAACUUACCAGGGCCAAGUCUCUCGUAGAUUGGCGACAUGAGAGGGGCAAGAGUGGUGCAUGGCCGUUGGAAAUUGAUGGGAUGACCUUUAGCUUAAGUGCUGUAACCAGUGAGAUCUUCUAGACAGGUGUCUUACUGACACAGGAAGGAGAAGGCUAUAACAGGUCCGUGAUGCCCUCAGAUGCCCUGGGCCGCAAGUGCAAUACAAUAUCCGUUUGAGCGACAUAAAUAUGCUUACGGAUGAGUAGGAUUAGCUCUUGU
rnacentral:rRNA from 1 species